rnacentral:rRNA from 1 species
UUAAGCGACUAAGCGUACACGGUGGAUGCCCUGGCAGUCAGAGGCGAUGAAGGGCGUGCUAAUCUGCGAUAAGCGCCGGUAAGGUGAUAUGAACCGUUAUAACCGGCGAUACCCGAAUGGGGAAACCCAGUGUGACUCGUCACACUAUCAUUAACUGAAUCCAUAGGUUAAUGAGGCGAACCGGGGGAACUGAAACAUCUAAGUACCCCGAGGAAAAGAAAUCAACCGAGAUUCCCCCAGUAGCGGCGAGCGAACGGGGAGGAGCCCAGAGCCUGAAUCAGCAUGUGUGUUAGUGGAAGCGUCUGGAAAGGCGCGCGAUACAGGGUGACAGCCCCGUACACAAAAGCGCAUGUGCUGUGAGCUCGAUGAGUAGGGCGGGACACGUGGUAUCCUGUCUGAAUAUGGGGGGACCAUCCUCCAAGGCUAAAUACUCCUGACUGACCGAUAGUGAACCAGUACCGUGAGGGAAAGGCGAAAAGAACCCCGGCGAGGGGAGUGAAAAAGAACCUGAAACCGUGUACGUACAAGCAGUGGGAGCACAGGUUUACCUGUGUGACUGCGUACCUUUUGUAUAAUGGGUCAGCGACUUAUAUUCUGUAGCAAGGUUAACCGAAUAGGGGAGCCGGAGGGAAACCGAGUCUUAAUUGGGCGUUAAGUUGCAGGGUAUAGACCCGAAACCCGGUGAUCUAGCCAUGGGCAGGUUGAAGGUUGGGUAACACUAACUGGAGGACCGAACCGACUAAUGUUGAAAAAUUAGCGGAUGACCUGUGGCUGGGGGUGAAAGGCCAAUCAAACCGGGAGAUAGCUGGUUCUCCCCGAAAGCUAUUUAGGUAGCGCCUCGUGAAUUCAUCUCCGGGGUAGAGCACUGUUUCGGCUAGGGGGCCAUCCCGGCUUACCAACCCGAUGCAAACUGCGAAUACCGGAGAAUGUUAUCACGGGAGACACACGGCGGGUGCUAACGUCCGUCGUGAAGAGGGAAACAACCCAGACCGCCAGCUAAGGUCCCAAAGUCAUGGUUAAGUGGGAAACGAUGUGGGAAGGCCCAGACAGCCAGGAUGUUGGCUUAGAAGCAGCCAUCAUUUAAAGAAAGCGUAAUAGCUCACUGGUCGAGUCGGCCUGCGCGGAAGAUGUAACGGGGCUAAACCAUGCACCGAAGCUGCGGCAGCGACGCUGAUGCGUUGUUGGGUAGGGGAGCGUUCUGUAAGCCUGCGAAGGUGGCCUGUGAGGGUUGCUGGAGGUAUCAGAAGUGCGAAUGCUGACAUAAGUAACGAUAAAGCGGGUGAAAAGCCCGCUCGCCGGAAGACCAAGGGUUCCUGUCCAACGUUAAUCGGGGCAGGGUGAGUCGACCCCUAAGGCGAGGCCGAAAGGCGUAGUCGAUGGGAAACGGGUUAAUAUUCCCGUACUUGGUGUUACUGCGAAGGGGGGACGGAGAAGGCUAUGUUGGCCGGGCGACGGUUGUCCCGGUUUAAGCGUGUAGGUGUGUGUUCCAGGUAAAUCCGGUUCACUUUAACACUGAGGCGUGAUGACGAGGCACUACGGUGCUGAAGCAACAAAUGCCCUGCUUCCAGGAAAAGCCUCUAAGCAUCAGGUAACAUCAAAUCGUACCCCAAACCGACACAGGUGGUCAGGUAGAGAAUACCAAGGCGCUUGAGAGAACUCGGGUGAAGGAACUAGGCAAAAUGGUGCCGUAACUUCGGGAGAAGGCACGCUGACACGUAGGUGAAGUGAUUUACUCAUGGAGCUGAAGUCAGUCGAAGAUACCAGCUGGCUGCAACUGUUUAUUAAAAACACAGCACUGUGCAAACACGAAAGUGGACGUAUACGGUGUGACGCCUGCCCGGUGCCGGAAGGUUAAUUGAUGGGGUCAGCGCAAGCGAAGCUCCUGAUCGAAGCCCCGGUAAACGGCGGCCGUAACUAUAACGGUCCUAAGGUAGCGAAAUUCCUUGUCGGGUAAGUUCCGACCUGCACGAAUGGCGUAAUGAUGGCCAGGCUGUCUCCACCCGAGACUCAGUGAAAUUGAACUCGCUGUGAAGAUGCAGUGUACCCGCGGCAAGACGGAAAGACCCCGUGAACCUUUACUAUAGCUUGACACUGAACAUUGAGCCUUGAUGUGUAGGAUAGGUGGGAGGCUUUGAAGUGUGGACGCCAGUCUGCAUGGAGCCGACCUUGAAAUACCACCCUUUAAUGUUUGAUGUUCUAACGUGGACCCGUAAUCCGGGUUGCGGACAGUGUCUGGUGGGUAGUUUGACUGGGGCGGUCUCCUCCUAAAGAGUAACGGAGGAGCACGAAGGUUGGCUAAUCCUGGUCGGACAUCAGGAGGUUAGUGCAAUGGCAUAAGCCAGCUUGACUGCGAGCGUGACGGCGCGAGCAGGUGCGAAAGCAGGUCAUAGUGAUCCGGUGGUUCUGAAUGGAAGGGCCAUCGCUCAACGGAUAAAAGGUACUCCGGGGAUAACAGGCUGAUACCGCCCAAGAGUUCAUAUCGACGGCGGUGUUUGGCACCUCGAUGUCGGCUCAUCACAUCCUGGGGCUGAAGUAGGUCCCAAGGGUAUGGCUGUUCGCCAUUUAAAGUGGUACGCGAGCUGGGUUUAGAACGUCGUGAGACAGUUCGGUCCCUAUCUGCCGUGGGCGCUGGAGAACUGAGGGGGGGCUGCUCCUAGUACGAGAGGACCGGAGUGGACGCAUCACUGGUGUUCGGGUUGUCAUGCCAAUGGCACUGCCCGGUAGCUAAAUGCGGAAGAGAUAAGUGCUGAAAGCAUCUAAGCACGAAACUUGCCCCGAGAUGAGUUCUCCCUGAGACUUAGAGUCUCCUGAAGGAACGUUGAAGACGACGACGUUGAUAGGCCGGGUGUGUAAGCGCAGCGAUGCGUUGAGCUAACCGGUACUAAUGAACCGUGAGGCUUAACCUU